CAACCUUUUAGCAACGUUGUAACAACAUGGCUAAAUGGUUGUUGGUUCUACAUUGUCUUGUUAAGGUUGUUACUGCGUUGUCACAAUGUUGUCAUUCAACCAUGGAUCGCUGAAGGUUGUGCUUAGGCUGUCUGGACAACCACUGUACGACGUGUACUCGUCACUGUUCCGAAGCGCAUUUUACAAUUGAGCAGACCGUUGGGCCGUUAUUCUUCUUCAAGCCAGGAUACCGAUCAGUUACCCCACAUUUACAAGAUGGUUCAUUGGACCUCUUCUCCCAAUUUUAACAGCCAGGAAAGUUGUUUUUAUCAAGGAAAAAGGAGAAA